rnacentral:rRNA from 1 species
UACGUAGGGGGCGAGCGUUGUCCGGAAUCAUUGGGCGUAAAGAGCGUGUAGGCGGCUUGGCAAGUCCUGCGUGAAAGCCCGCAGCUCAACUGCGGAAGUGCGUAGGAAACUGCCUAGCUAGAGUCCGGAAGAGGAGAGCGGAACUCCUGGUGUAGCGGUGGAAUGCGCAGAUAUCAGGAAGAACACCCGUGGCGAAGGCGGCUCUCUGGGACGGAACUGACGCUGAGACGCGAAAGCGUGGGGAGCGAACAGG